rnacentral:lncRNA from 10 species
GUGGUUUUGCUUUUGAUUUUAAUGCUUGGGCUGCCCCAGGUGUAUAUGUGAGAGUAUUUCUCGGAAGACACUGGCCUGUGAGUGGGUGAACUGAGUGGAGAAGCUCCACCCUCAAUGCAGGCAGGCACCAUUUAAUCAGCUGGGGGCCUGGAGAGAAAAGGCAGAGGAAGGGCAAAUUAUUUUUCUCUUUCUUUUGGAGCCAGGAUGUUUUUCUCCUUCCAUUGGAUGUCAGAAAGCUAGGUUCUCCAGCUUUUGGACUCUGGGAUUUGCACCAGAGCCUGCCCCCGGCAACCCCGACUCAGGCUUUUGGCCUUGAAAUGAGUUAUGCCAUCAGCUUAUUUAUUUGUAAGGCCUUCGGACUUGAACUGUGCCACAUCCUCAGCUUUCCAGAUUCUCCAGUUCGGACGACCCUUUGUGGAACUUCUCAGCCUCCAUGAUCAUAUAAGUCGACAUUUUCACUGGACCGAUUGGACUGAAAAGGCAAGAUUGAAUGAGGUAACAGAGCAUCUGUAACAACACUGAGGUGCACUUGUCAAUUGCAGGAUCAUAUGUAGGAGGUGUUCAGCAAAUAAUUCACAAACCAAGCGGAUCUCUCUCAGCA